rnacentral:rRNA from 1 species
GAUGAACGCUGGCGGCGUGCCUAAUACAUGCAAGUCGAGCGAACGGACGAGAAGCUUGCUUCUCUGAUGUUAGCGGCGGACGGGUGAGUACCACGUGGAUAACAUACCUAUAAGACUGGGAUAACUUCGGGAAACCGGAGCUAAUACCGGAUAAUAUUUUGAACCGCAUGGUUCAAAAGUGAAAGACGGUCUUGCUGUCACUUAUAGAUGGAUCCGCGCUGCAUUAGCUAGUUGGUAAGGUAACGGCUUACCAAGGCAACGAUGCAUAGCCGACCUGAGAGGGUGAUCGGCCACACUGGAACUGAGACACGGUCCAGACUCCUACGGGAGGCAGCAGUAGGGAAUCUUCCGCAAUGGGCGAAAGCCUGACGGAGCAACGCCGCGUGAGUGAUGAUGGUCUUCGGAUCGUAAAACUCUGUUAUUAGGGAAGAACAUAUGUGUAAGUAACUGUGCACAUCUUGACGGUACCUAAUCAGAAAGCCACGGCUAACUACGUG